ensembl:lncRNA LINC02871 long intergenic non-protein coding RNA 2871
CUUGACAAAGUCCAUGGACUGUGAUCCUGGGACCAACAGCAUCAGUAUCAACUGGGAACUUCUUAGAAAUUCAAAUUCUUGGGGCUAUUCCCCAAAUUUCUGAGUCAGAAGCUCUGGGGAUAGGGCCCAGCAAGCUAUGUGUUAACAGACUUUUUAGAUCAGGGGUUCCCCCCAACUCCCAGGCCAAGAACCAGUACCAGUCUGUGGCCUGUUAGGAACCAGGCUGCACAGCAGGAGGUGAGGGCAGCCGUCUCUGCAUCUACACUCUUGGUAAUUGAGACUUUGUGGCUGCUCGUUUGAAGAGAUAGAAUCUAAUUCCCUAGCCUUGUCUCUGGACUGGCCUUAUGAUUCUCUUUAACCAUAGAAUGUGGGAGAAGUGAUGAUGUGCCUAUUCUAAGUCUAGGCCUCAAGAAGUCUUGAAAGAUUCUGUUCCCUCUUGGUUAGUCCACUGGAGGAUGAGAGACCCACGGCCCAAUAACCUCCAUUGCCUCGGCCAACAGACAGUCAACUUCCAGUCUCACCAUUGCCUAGACUACCACAGGGACCACAGACACAUAACGGUGCCCAGCCAAGACAAGAAGAAACAUCCAGCUGAGUCCAGCCUAAAUUGCUGAUCUGCAGAAUUGUUUGAGGGAGAAGGCUGCAAGGAGUCCUGUGGGAGGCCCUGGGGUCUUAUUAGUUGAAGGAAACAAAUCAUCAUACCUUUAAUACUGGCUCCAAUUUGCCCCUUUCAUGAGUAGUCUUGGAGAGAUAAUUGCUAAUCUGGAAUGGACAUACUUCUUGAUCUUGGUUGGCAUUUUUCAAACUGUGAUGAAGACACUUUUUAUAGCCCUGUUCAGAAUACAGAAGGAGACCUACUCUUCUUUGAUCACAAUCUAAAGACAGACAGAGGACAUGUGGAAAGAUCUGUCAUGGAUUAAAUAUAAACAAAAAUGAAGCAAGAAACAAAACUAGUCUUUCAAUGAAAAGCUGAAGAUGCUGAAGAAGAAAUGCAAAAUCAUUUCACAAGAAAAACAAAAUCAGACCAGGAUCACUUGGCGUACCAUCCUAGCAAAAUAUAUCUUCUUGGAGUUGCCCUGACAAUGCUCCUCAAAAACUACUUUCUUCAUCUUCUUGCGGGUUAAAUACUGGGAUUAAAUCCUAGCAUAAAAAUUACAUCUAAAAUGAAA